ACAGCUUCGCUGUACUAAAUUAUAUUUUACAUUUGGCUUACAAUAUUUUUCAUUGUAUGUCAAGAUUUUAAGUGAAGCUAUAAAAAAUGUUCCUCUCGCUAUCCAGUGAUAACCUUUAUGGUGCAUUUGGACGUUGGGGAACUACAUUU